GGAUGUGAGGGCGAUCUGCCUCGACACCUGUCACCCCAUGGAUCGCCAGGGCUGAUUCGGCUGAUCUGGCUGGCUGGGCGGGUGUCCCCUUCCUCCCUCAGUGCUCCAUGUGCGUCCCUGCCGAAGCUGCGCGCUCGAUUGAAGAGGACGACUGCCCCGAUAGAGGAGCACGUUCCUCGGUCAAGGGUGGACGAGCAGCUGCGCUCCCUGCUGGAACCUCCAAACAAGCUCUCAAGACUGUGGCUCCCGGUUGACCCUUCUGGCCCUGCAGACAGCAGGGCACACAAUGACAUUCU
rnacentral:snRNA from 1 species